rnacentral:rRNA from 1 species
GGAGGGGUGCAAGCGUUGUUCGGAAUUAUUGGGCGUAAAGAGUAUGUAGGGCGGUUCGGUAAGUCAGAUGUGAAAGCCCUGGGCUCAACCCAGGAAGUGCAUUUGAAACUACCAGACUUGAGCACGGGAGAGGAGGGGGGAAUUCCCGGUGUAGAGGUGAAAUUCGUAGAUAUCGGGAGGAAUACCAGUGGCGAAGGCGCCCCUCUGGACCGAUACUGACGCUGAGACGCGAAAGCGUGGGGAGCAAACAGGAUUAGAUACCCUGGUAGUCCACGCCGUAAACGAUGAGCACUAGGUGUAGCGGGUAUUGACCCCUGCUGUGCCGUAGCUAACGCAUUAAGUGCUCCGCCUGGGGACUACGGUCGCAAGACUA